CAUCCUAGCGCUGCCACGAUGCCCUCUGGGACCGUAGCCAAGUCACAUCAUCUCUUUGUGUCUUCUUUUCUUCCCGUUAUGGUUUACUGACUCAGACAGGAUUGAAUUCAUCAUUGGAUCCCUGAACAUCUCAUCCAGGACCCCAAGUGUGCACUUUUGAAGACUUUGUUUCAUUCCUGGCUAAUUCAGGCUCCAUUUGUCAACAAGCUACAACAUGCAGUGCCAACUCAACAAGGAUAUAUGAAACUACAGCUGACCAUGGAAAAUAGCACUUACCCUUAGAUGGACACUGCUAUAAGGACUCUGAGGCCUGAGACUAGCAAGAGGGGGCGGCCCAAUGCCCCUCACCAGCCCAGUUCAGCAGGAAGUAGCCAGAAAGACCUUGACGCCC